rnacentral:rRNA from 1 species
UACGAAGGGGGCUAGCGUUGCUCGGAAUUACUGGGCGUAAAGGGCGCGUAGGCGGAUGUUUAAGUCGGGGGUGAAAGCCCGGGGCUCAACCCCGGAAUUGCCUUCGAUACUGGACAUCUUGAGUACGGGAGAGGUGAGUGGAACUCCGAGUGUAGAGGUGAAAUUCGUAGAUAUUCGGAAGAACACCAGUGGCGAAGGCGACUCACUGGCCCGUUACUGACGCUGAGGCGCGAAAGCGUGGGGAGCAAACAGGG